UAUGCAUGUGAAUAUAUGUAAUAAAUAACUCAUAAAAGAGAAAGGAAUAUGUGAAAACAAUAACAGAUUAUUAAACGUGAAAAGAGGUCUGAAACGGUAGCAGAGUUAAUUGAAGCAGCGAAUUUAGUUCCAUAACUUAUUAUUUUUAGAAAUAAAAAAAAUAAAUUUUAAAUUAAUCUCUAAAUAAUAAGUAUUCACAAAAACGAACAAUUAUGGAUCACCUUAUUCACCAACGACUGUCCUUGUUAAAAGGAAGACUAUAGUUUUAUAAAAGAAUUUUAUAAAACAUAUUUACAAAUAAGUAAGAGUGUCCCUUCGCUCGGAAUCGGAAUGGAACAAUUCGGUGGUACCAGAAUCAAAAUUCGAGCCUCGCAGAUCGCCUUUGUAGUUUACCGAACACAGAAAAGAACAGGGAAUAAAAGACAAAAAUGAUGAAAAUAUUUUUAACAUAUUAGUGAGUGUGUUCUGAUGAAAAUGGAACCGAACAUAAUAUAAUUUGGAACAUAUUUACUUAUUAAUACUAACUAUGUCAGGGUACUAAACUGCAACCGGUUGAUGUGACGAUUCAAGAUCAUAUUUGACGGACAAUGUCAGGGUACAGGACUACAUUUUACAGACAAUGAGAAUGGUACUAGACUGCGGUUUAUGGACCAUGCGAGGAUACAAGACUACAUUUUGCGGACAAUGUGGGAAUCAGUGUAUCUUUUACGGAGAACAUGGAAAACUGCGUUAAAUUAUUUACGUAAAAACAUUUAUGCAAUAAAUACUAAAUUAGUCAAUGUUGCUUAAAUUAUAUCAUGUCCAAUGUCAUUUUAACCGGAAGAACCUAACAAAUACGAUAGAAAAGUAUUUUGCUAAGAAAAGUUAACAAAAAUUAAAAUAUUGUAUUCAAGCUUGUAAAGUCGAAAAGUUUCAUCGAAAGAGCCACGUGACAUAUCACAUUACAUACAUCACACGUGCGACUGAGUUCGAUUUAGAAAACAUAGGUAUAGCAAGAAUGAACACAAAAGCGUAGGCACAUUCGUAGAGAAAAUGUGAGGAUACCGUCAGUAGGGACAAUGUGGGAGAUAUUACUGUAUGUAAUUAUUAAUAUCGCUAAAGUAUACUAUCAGUUAAUCACUUGACAAUUGCAAAAUACACAAGGAUUAUUUUAAAUUCGAAACCUUUCUUUUCACAUACAUGGAAUCGUCUCGUUAUUCUACACAAAAGAAUAUUGGGUACCUUUACAUACAAGGAACUUUUCUAGUUUUUGCAUACAUGGAAUCCUUUUGCCGUUCUACGUGAAAAGUAUCACGAUUCAACGUCAAAGAAAUCAACCGUUCGUAAAAUGUUUUAAAUUUAAAAAUCUGGUAUUUCAUAUGUGAGUUUGAAAUAUCUGAUAUAUCUAUUGAUUUUUUAACAUAGAACUUCAAUAUUUUUUAUCCAGAAUGUUCCGUGCAAAAACAUAUACCGUUUCAUUUUUAAAAAGAGUAUAUAUACAUUUCGCAAUUUUUUAUCGAACUGUGUAUUUGCUUUUACACGACUUAAUUCUACAGAACAUUCUGUUAAAGUACAGUAUCAAAGAACUAACCAAUUAAAAGUUUCAAAUUUCUGUAUGAAAUAUCGCAUUUUUGCUGAUAAUACCUCAUGUACGGUUUUGAAUUAUUUUCAGUUGUGUAAUAAUAUCUCAUAGUCCUUGAUAUUAUAUUGUAAUACUUUUCAACGCAAAAUUACAGGCAGAUUUGUUGUAUGGUAAAACAGGACCAACCUUGAAUCAUUCAUCUUCUUUCUAUAAUAUUUUUCCGAAUUUCAAACAAUAAAAUGGUACGAUUUAUUUUAACUGUGUAAAUUUUUUAUCUUAAAAAUUUCUACUAAUUUGUAUCCUUACACUAGCAAUUAAAGUUAAAAUUUGAAUGUAUUAAGAAUGUUUCAAUGCACUUUUAUCUCGAAGACUUCUAAUAAAACCGAUACGAGGAAACCUA